AUUGAACGCUGGCGACAUGCCUUACACAUGCAAGUCGAACAGCAGCACGGGUGCUUGCACCUGGUGGCGAGUGGCGAACGGGUGAGUAAUACAUCGGAACAUGUCCUGUAGUGGGGGAUAGCCCGGCGAAAGCCGGAUUAAUACCGCAUACGAUCUACGGAUGAAAGCGGGGGACCUUCGGGCCUCGCGCUAUAGGGUUGGCCGAUGGCUGAUUAGCUAGUUGGUGGGGUAAAGGCCUACCAAGGCGACGAUCAGUAGCUGGUCUGAGAGGACGACCAGCCACACUGGGACUGAGACACGGCCCAGACUCCUACGGGAGGCAGCAGUGGGGAAUUUUGGACAAUGGGCGAAAGCCUGAUCCAGCAAUGCCGCGUGUGUGAAGAAGGCCUUCGGGUUGUAAAGCACUUUUGUCCGGAAAGAAAUCCUUGGCCCUAAUACGGUCGGGGGAUGACGGUACCGGAAGAAUAAGCACCGGCUAACUACGUG
rnacentral:rRNA from 1 species